rnacentral:rRNA from 1 species
AACGAACGCUGGCGGCAUGCCUAACACAUGCAAGUCGAACGAGACCUUCGGGUCUAGUGGCUCACGGGUGCGUAACGCGUGGGAACCUGCCCGUAGGUUCGGAAUAACUCUCCGACAGGGGUGCUAAUACCGGAUAAUUUCUUCGGACCAAAGAUUUAUCGACCUUGGAUGGGCCCGCGUUGGAUUAGCUAGUUGGUAGGGUAAAAGCCUACCAAGGCGACGAUCCAUAGCUGGUCUGAGAGGAUGAUCAGCCACACUGGGACUGAGACACGGCCCAGACUCCUACGGGAGGGAGCAGUGGGGAAUAUUGGACAAUGGGCGAAAGCCUGAUCCAGCAAUGCCGCGUGAGUGAUGAAGGCCUUAGGGUAGUAAAGCUCUUUUACCCGGGAUGAUAAUGACGGUACCGGGAGAAUAAGCUCCGGCUAACUCCGUG